UUCAACAUUGCAUCUUCCCCUGCCCUUUCUUUCACAAUAUCACAAGCCAACAAGCCCUUAGCAGGUCUAGCAUGUUCCUGCCCCAUCUUGAAUAAUUGGAGUGAGCCACGUGUUAGAGACAGAUAUACAGAGAAGAUACAGGGGAGAAGGAAGAGGAAUGUCUACAGUGCUCGACUGCCACGAGGACUUGGGUCCCGUGCGUCUUCCCAAAAUGUAGACUAGUCACG